AGGAUUAACGCUGGCGGCGUGCAUGAAACAUGCAAGUCGAGCGCGGGACAGUGGCUUCGGUUACUGUCUCUAGCGGCGAACGGGUGAGUAACACGUGAGCAACCUACCUUUGAGUCUGGAAUAGCCCUGGGAAACCAGGAUUAAUGCCGGAUGUGGUCACGACGAGACAUCUCGAUGUGAGUAAAGGGGCAACCCGCUCAAUGACGGGCCCGCGGCCUAUCAGCUUGUUGGUGGGGUAACGGCCUACCAAGGCGACGACGGGUA
rnacentral:rRNA from 1 species